CCAUAUUUGGUCUAUGAUUUUGAAGAUUCAGUUUUGUUUGUGGUUUAUGAUUUUGUAUGUUCAGAAGAAGCUUUAGCGGUUUUUUUUAAUCAAACUCACGGUUACCACAAAACUUCAUCUAGCGACCAACACCUGUUCGAUGUUAGCGUCAAAAUUGCCAUUCACGGGUACACCGCUGCUGGUGGCGUGAGUUCUGGUUGGUGGGUUGUCAACAAAAGUGGAGCAUAUUGAGGAAUGAUUGUUCAACCAUAAGAGGGAAUGCAAUUUCAUUUAAGAAGUUGUUUAUCAUAGAUCUUGAAUGGUCAUCAAAGUUCAUGCUUUGUAGUGUUCAAAGAAGGGUUAAUUGAUCAGUCAUCACGGGUUCUUUUUUUGUGGUUCAUGCUUACAUAUGAAAUGGAAGCAAUUCUGGGUUUUAGUUCCGCUUGCGAAGUAACACUACGUUUCUGGCUGUUCAAUAAAAGGCAUUGCUCAAGACACACAAUGUUUAUCUGAUCUCUAAGUAAUACAGUUUUUAUUUAGAGUGUUAAUGUAUAA